rnacentral:rRNA from 1 species
UGCCAGCCGCCGCGGUAAUACGGAGGGUGCAAGCGUUAAUCGGAAUUACUGGGCGUAAAGCGCACGUAGGCGGACUAUUAAGUCAGGGGUGAAAUCCCGGGGCUCAACCCCGGAACUGCCUCUGAUACUGGUAGUCCUGAGUUCGAGAGAGGUGAGUGGAAUUCCGAGUGUAGAGGUGAAAUUCGUAGAUAUUCGGAGGAACACCAGUGGCGAAGGCGGCUUCCUGGACCGAUACUGACGCUGAGACGCGAAAGCGUGGGGAGCAAACAGGAUUAGAUA